AUGCGAUCAGAAGAAGGAGCCAGGAGAGCUCAAACCCUAGUUCAAAAAAUCCUCCAAAUCGAAGCUCAAAUCAAGCCCGAAUCGUCUGCAUGAUUACAAAUUCGUGAUCGCCUAGUCGUGGGGAUCAUAAGUUGACUCUAAACAAGCUAGGUGGGAGCUUGAAAAGGGACGGGCCAAACGGAUCAUGGAUGCGAAGAAUGUUUGCGCGGACGAGAGGGUAAAACGGCUUAUGGAAUUUACGUGGCUAUGAAUCAGCAAAUUAUUAAGGCAAGGUAUUAAAACGGGUCAAUACUUUGACCCGCGCCAGGUACGCGUAAAUUUGGUGGAAGAUAUGUGAAUACCUUAAUGUAGAAAAAUGACAUGUGAAAGUAGAGAGUGGGAUUUAAACUUAAAUGAUUAAAUCCUCUCUAACGGGUCAAAAUAUGCAUUUAAGCGUAGACGGGUCAAAAUCUUGUAAAAAGGUAAUAAUCCGAAUGCAAAAAAGUCUCAAAAUUUAUUAAGCCGGAUGUCAGACUUUAACUCCAUAUGAUGGAGAAUCAAAUUACAAACAUGUAGGAAGAAAUGGUAGGUCAAACGGACAAGCGAAUUUAAAGAUACGAAAUAUUUCGUGUCAAUUACGGCAAAAUGGAAAGGCUGAAUGCAGGGGCCACCGUAACUUAUGGUGCGACCGUAAGUUACGGUGGAGCUGAAUUAUUUACGGUGGUUGCCUACUGUUGUACGGUAGGAAAAUUUUAUUACAGAGGCCACUGUAACUUACGGUGCCACCGUAUGUUACGGUGGAGGUCAUUUUCAAAUUUUUGUUUUUGGGAUCAAUGGUUUCCCGGACUCGUUUGGACACGUUUUAAAGCCCGUAAGACUAAAGCAUUUCGUGUUUAUGAAAUGUAGGUACAUUUUGGAUGCCGGAAGACGAUCAAGCUCGACGAAGGACCGAACACGAUAUAGAUACAUGCUUCCGCACUUUAACACAUUGCAAAUUUUAAACAACGAAUUCAACCACGUUAUGUAGAAUAACUUGUUGGUGCACUACAUCUGUUGAUUUCGUCUUAGAUCGAGUUUUUCAUUGUAAUGUAUAGAUUAGGGCGUGUUUUACGAGAAAACUGGAGAGUUUAUGUGUUUUAGAGAGGAGGUCCGCUUAUACGGACAUAGGAUAUCCUCUUUUGUGUCAGGUCCGCUUAUACGGACAUGGGAGGUCCGCUUAUACGUCAGGUCCGCUUAUACGGACAUGUCCGUAUAAGGGAACCUACCUGGACUAUAAAUACCACAAAAGAGGACCUCAUUUGUAACUUUUUGGAUUCCAUACCGAGGUGCUGCCGGUGUGAGAAUAGAUUGUAAAAGCUGUCAAAUUAAUCAGAAAAGAGAUUUAAGAA